rnacentral:lncRNA from 1 species
CUCCAUUUAGCUCGUUCUAUUCUCCUUCAUUUUGUUUCAAACUCGCGACCAUGUAACAUGGUUGCUCAGAAACUUUGGCCGACAGCAGCGUGGUGUAUCUAUUGCAAUCGUAUAUAAGCUGAACGUUUACUUCGCACCUUUAUAAUGGCGAUAAUAAAGCUUCUUCAGCUUGAGUGGCUAGCACCAAUACUGGAAAAUGUUUACUGCAAAAUUUGUUCUUUACCACGUUAAAAUUGUAGCGAAUAUCUCCGAUAAUUAAUUUCUACAUGAAUAUGCUUGCAAAUGAUGGAACUUUUACAGACUGCGACAGCAGAAAAACCAUUAGUAAAUGACUAGAAAAUUGGUUGACUGAUUGAAUACAUUAGAUUGAAUUGAUACUACAAUGUUUUUGAGUUAAAAUAAGAAAGAUUGAUGAUUCACAAUCUACAAUAAUCUAUGGAAGUUAUGGAAGUAUCGAAUCGAAUGGAAGCAUGGAAGAAAGAAAAAGAAUCAAAGAGAAGAGAACAUUAAGUCCAUCGUGAACUAACUUAAG